GACGAACGCUGACGGUGUGCUUUAGACAUGCAAGUCGAACGAGAAAGCCCUUCGGGUGAGUACAGUGGCGAACGGGUGAGUAACACGUGGGCAACCUGCCCCUCGCAGGGGGACGAAACCGGAGGGAAACUCCGGCUAAUACCCCGUAAGCUUGUUGGGUCGCAUGACCCUUCAAGGAAAGGUAGCUUCGGCCAUCCGGCGAGGGAUGGGCCCGCGGUACAUUAGCUAGUUGGUGGGGUAACGGCCCACCAAGGCGACGAGUAUAGCUGGUCUGAGAGGAUGAUCAGCCACACUGGGACUGAGACACGG
rnacentral:rRNA from 1 species